rnacentral:lncRNA from 1 species
UCUAAAAAGCUAAAAGGAGACAAAUAUGAAAGAAAAAACUUAUCUACAGAAGACAGCAAGACAGUACAGGAAUUGCUUCAUAAAGAUUAGAGGGAUCAAUCAAUCACCUACAGAGGCCUACAUCCCUCCUGAGAUGACAAAUAUCUAUUAUGAUGAGAACCCCACAGCUUCACAAGAACUCUCAUUAUAGUUUUGGGCAGUCUUAGUUGGUGGGAAGAUUUUCCUUUUUAUUGUGCCAAAAUUUGCUUCUGUGUAACUCCUUCCCAUUGGUCCUAAUUAUGCUUUCGGUAUCCGACUCGAAUCAAGUCUCUCCUGUAGGUCAGGAGAGCUAGCAAGCACUAAUGUCCCAUUUAGAUCCAAAGAAGAAAAGAAUGACGUACAAGGGCUGCAAAAUAAAGCUACAUACGCAGG